rnacentral:misc_RNA from 1 species
UCCAAUGAUGAGAGUGGGUUGUUGG